rnacentral:lncRNA from 13 species
AUGAAGAGAUCCACCCGCAGCCUGUGGGGAUCCACGGGGGAUGCAGAGAUCCACCUGCAGCCCAUGGGGAUCCAUGGGGGAUGCAGAGAUCCAUCCACAGCCCAUGGGGAUCCAUGGGGGAUGCAGAGAUCCAUCCACAGCCCAUGGGGAUCCAUGGGGGAUGCAGAGAUCCAUCCACAGCCCAUGGGGAUCCAUGGGGGAUGCAGAGAUCCAUCCACAGCCCAUGGGGAUCCAUGGGGGAUGCAGAGAUCCAUCCACAGCCCAUGGGGAUCCAUGGGGGAUGCAGAGAUCCAUCCACAGCCCAUGGGGAUCCAUGGGGGAUGCAGAGAUCCAUCCACAGCCCAUGGGGAUCCAUGGGGGAUGCAGAGAUCCAUCCACAGCCCAUGGGGAUCCAUGGGGGAUGCAGAGAUCCAUCCACAGCCCAUGGGGAUCCACGGGGGAUGCAGAGAUCCAUCCACAGCCCAUGGGGAUCCCCAGGGGAUGCAGAGAUCCAUCCACAGCCCCUGGGGAUCCAUGGGGGAUGCAGAGAUCCAUCCACAGCCAAUGGGGAUCCAUGGGGGAUGCAGAGAUCCACCUGCAGCCCGUGGGGAUCCACGGGGGAUGCAGAGAUCCACCCGCAGCCCCUGGGGAUCCACAGGGGAUGCAGAGAUCCAUCCACAGCCAAUGGGGAUCCAUGGGGGAUGCAGAGAUCUGAUCCAUGGGGGAUGCAGAGAUCCAUCCACAGCCAAUGGGGAUCCACGGGGGAUGCAGAGAUCCACCCACAGCCUGUGGGGAUACACAGGGGAUGCAGAGAUCCACCCGCAGCCCCUGGGGAUCCACAGGGGAUGCAGAGAUCCAUCCACAGCCCAUGGGAAUCCAUGGGGGAUGCAGAGAUCUGAUCCAUGGGGGAUGCAGAGAUCCAUCCACAGCCAAUGGGGAUCCACGGGGGAUGCAGAGAUCCACCUGGAGCCUGUGGGGGAGGUGCUCACACUGGAGUGGAUGGAUGCCUGGAGGAGGCUGUGUUCCAGUGGAAGACCUGGUGGAGAAAGAGGGCCCUUGCUCCCAGGCUGGAGCAGCCUGUCCUUGGAAGACUGCACCCUGUGGAAGAGUGACCCACGGCACAGCAGUUUUGGGAGGGCUGUGUGCCCGUGGGAGGGACUCACGUUGCAGCAGGUGCGGUGUGAGUGCUGCUCGUGA